AAAUGAUGUUAGUUCUCAGAUGGUUUAUAAACAUAAGCGUGCCCUUGUUCCCCAAGCCCACCCUUUAUUUCUCAAGUUUCUGCGUUCCAGAGAUCCUCGCCAGCCCAUCUAAUUCCUACCGCCAAUGGGAAUUGAAUGCUCCAAGUUUGGAACACAAGUCAACUCACAGAGCUCGAGUGCAACUGUAUUCUUCACUUGAUGGGUUUUUAAUAUUUGUCAACUAUUCUAAUUUUGGUGACUUGUGGAUGGAGAAGAGGAUAUAGCAUCCACUCAGAUUCCUAGAAUCUAGCAGUUACACAUCCUGUGUAGUUCUGCUAGAGUCAAAGAAUUAUCUACAUCUUUCCCUGCCUGAUCUUCUGAAACUCUUUACUGAUAGAACUUAUGAACAAAAAAACAAAUAAAACUAUCAGCAAAUCUUAAUACUCCUACA
rnacentral:lncRNA from 1 species